AUGAUGAAAGCAUAUCAAAGAGGGAAUGAUGACGUACCUUUACCAUCCAUCGUCACAUCCACUGCUUGUCCUGGGUAACACCCAAAAGAGAAGAAAAUAAAGACACUCUUGCCACAGAGGUGCACAGAGAUGGAGGCGCUACUACCUCUGGAGGAGGGAUGGACUUUCAGGGACCCCAUGAUUUGCAGCAGUUCAGUCAAAAGCAAUACAAAGAGCAAAGGACAGGGGCUGUUAUCUUGCCCAAGAGCUCCUCAAGGAGAGGAUAUGCCAUUGGAAAGGAGGCUCUUCCAGUCAAAUUUGGGGCUAGUGGGGUUAUCAUGUUUGAUACCAACUAGGAACAAGAUCCCCUUAGAGGCUUCCAACUGAGGAGGAUUCCAAAAGAGAGCUCCACGGCUGAAAUGAUUCAAAAGAAGCCAACGCCUUCUCACUGAGCCAGCCCUUUGGAAUAUGGACCCCUACUCCCAUGGCAUCCUUCCCCCCAUCCAGCGCCUCAGGCCCAUCUACACGCUUCUAUCUACAGGCUUUGCUUCUUCUCUAGCAAGGAGUGAAGAAGGAAAAGAAUCACUGGAGGUGUGUCAGAAGCAGUCACCAUAUCUUACGGGGCCUUGUAAGCCAGGGACAGAGUUUGAGAUUUUACUUCAAAUGGAGGCAAAACCAGGGGAGAGCCAUGCAGAGACACCCCUUGAUGAACUCUGCUUCACUCCAAUCACUCUGGUAGCUAAGAAAAGUACAUUCUCUCUCCUUUUGCAGUUCUCCUGGUGCCUAGCACAGGGCCAAGUGCAUGGUAGAUGUGAGGCUAGCCCUUGUGGCCUUUGCUGAUGAAGGACAGUGAAGGGGAUAAGAAAACAUGAAGACAUUUUGGGCUACAAGGGAGCAAACUACUGAAAAACUACUGUGACCCCCUCUCUUUAUCCAUGGAGAUGCUGAGGCCUAGGAGAGGGAAUUGACUUGUCCAAAGUCAACCAGAGCCAGGGUUAGUAUCCAGGUUUCUGCAGAUUGCAGCUCCUCAGAUAAAAGUAAGUGACUUGCCUCUCUUCUCUCAUAUCCAGAAUUGAUCUCAAACACUGUCAUGAAUCCCCAAGGGCCAGAGAGACACACAGCAUAGACCAAGACUCAUCUCUCGUCCUGCCAAGGGACUUCCUGUUACACACGCGGCACAACGUACAGCUCCAGGGAGAGCCCAGCCUGUUCUCCAGUCUCCAGUCAGCUCAGGGAGGCUAUAUGAAGUGAGACUUUCCUGGCCAACUUGACAAUGGUGAGUCAGGCUGGCAUAAGCUAGCUGCGAAGAGGACGCAGCCUGGACAAGCCUGAAUUAAUUGUGUGCAUGGAGCAAACAUCAUCAUCUGGAUGGACCCAAACCAGGGCUUGCCUGGAGCAUUCAGACCCUUUCAGAUGGCCCUGCCCAGAGCUGCUCAGCACUCUUGGAAGGUGUCUGGGUUUGGGGAGGCUUGAGGGCUGCUCUACCCAUGCUCCAGAAAAGGAUUUGUUCUCCACCCCUUGACCCGUCUGCCUCCAUACGAGCCCAUUUCCUCCAUGACAUGGUGACCGGGCUCAUACACACAAUAACAAAAAUAAUAAUAACCAUGCUUAUCAAGCACUAACCAUGUCAGAGGCACUGUUCUAAACAUUGUACAUGCAUUAACUCAUUAAGAGGCAGGGACUACUAUUGUCCCCGUUUUGCAGAUGAGGAAACUGAGGUAUGAGACAGUGAAGCAACUCGCCCAGAGUAAAAGCCAAGCCCCUGAGAUAGACGGAGCUGGGAGUCAGGAGUCUGCAGAGGUUGGGCUCCCAACUGCCCAGCUGCACCACACACAGAAGCUCCUUCCCAAGAUGGGUGUCCCAGGGAGAGAGGCAAUGCAAGAGCUGGAGUGAGUUUUGAGGCUGCUGUGGGCUCCACCUAUCCUCCUUGUUGGUUCCAAUCAAGUGAGAAUGAGACACAAGCAGCCAGACGGAGAUCAAAAAGGAGUAGGAGCUCUAGUUCAGAUCACGAUGCACUGACAAAGGGGCAGGGCUCCUCACUCCCAGGCCCCAAAAGAGAGACCGAAGCAGAGAGGACAGAGACAAGGCAGGACCGGCAGAGGGAGGCCAUCCUGGCUGCUGACUGCACAGAGGCUGCAAGUGCUCUGCUUGCUUACCAGGCCCCCACUGACCUGUGCUACGCUCAGUUCUGUAUACUAGGGAACACCAAUCAAUGUCGGUGGAUCGCACAGGUGGAUGAAUGGACAUAGAUGGAUGGACAGACAGACAAUGGGAUGCAAGGCCAAAGCAGGCACCCACAUGCACCUAGAAACAAGAGGAGAAGGAAAAAAGGCAUGCCAGCACUUGCCAUCAGAGCCCAGAGGGCCUGGGAGCCAGAGAUGAGUGGCCAGGAUCAAGUGGGCUGUCCCUGGACCAGGAGGCUCUUCCUCACUCCGGAGCCAGCUGAGGGUUGAUUUCUGAAACUCUCCUUCAUUUUCACAGCAGCCCUGGGGAGGGCAGAGGAGCCAACACACCAGCUAGUAAAAUUAACAGCUGCUCUUUACAGGGCGUGCCGGAGAGCCCAGCACAUGGCGCAAGGCCUGCAGACCAGCAGCUGCUGCGAGCUGAGGUGCCUGGCCUGCAGACCCUGAUCAGGGGUCCUCUUGGGGGUAAGGCUUAGACUCGGAGCUGCCGGCAGGGCCUGGGGUGUGGGGGCUGCUGAAGCAAUGGGCAGGUGGAUGGAGAGACUCAAGGAAUGAUGCUGCUACAAAAUUCUCUGACACAUUCUCCUGACCUUGCAAACUGGAAAUCCCUAUGUUCACCCCAGCUAGGAAUCUGCUAUGGAACUUGGGGAUCCACCUGGCUCUGGCCUCUCCAUCUCUAAUGCAGUACUUAGUUGAGCUUGGGGAAGUUAAUGUAGACAUGUCCCCAUGAGAAGGGGACAGAUGUUACAUCUUAUCUAUUACCUAUGUCAUAGGCAACUUAUGGAGCAAGUCCUGUAGGCCACUUAAAGAGGAAUAUUGACAGGCAUACAGGGAGUGGCAAUUGU